rnacentral:rRNA from 1 species
GAUGAACGCUGGCGGCGUGCCUAAUACAUGCAAGUCGAGCGAACGGACGAGUAGGUUGCUACUCUGAUGUUAGAGGCGGACGGGAGAGGAAGAUGUGGAGAACCCACCUAUAGGACUGGGCUAAGUUAGGGAAACUGGAGCUAGAACCGACUUAUAUUUUGAACCGGAUGGUUCAAAAGUGAAAGAGGGUCUUGCUGUCACUUAUAGAUGUAUCCGCGCUGCAUUAGCUAGUUGGUAAGGUAACGGCUUACCAAGGCAGCGAUGCAUAGCCGACCUGAGAGGGUGAUCGGCCACACUGGAACUGAGACACCGUCCCGACUCCUACGGGAGGCAGCAGUCGGGAAUCUUCCGCAAUGGGCGAAGGCCAGACUUAGCAACGCCGCGUGAGUCAUGAACGUCUUCGGCUCGUAGAACUCUGUUAUUAGGGAGUUACAUAUGUCUAAGUACCUGUGCGCAUCUGGACGGUAGCUAAACAGAAAGCCACGGCUAACUACGUG